rnacentral:lncRNA from 10 species
AGUGCUGUUUAUACCAGAUGAAUCUACAAAGCCAAGAACAGGAAUCACCGUAUCUCCUUCAGUAGACCUGAUACCACUUUCUCAUUUCAGCCACACCACCUCUGGUUAACAGAACCAGAUAUGUCAUAACACUGUCAAUGCCUGGAGGAGAGUAAAAUUCUGACUCUGACCACCAAGCUGAUCUGCACAGAAGGGGAUACAUGAUUAUUCAAAGAAUGCUAGUUGAACCCAAAAUUUCAAACUGCAGCUACAUCUAUCUAAUGUUGUUUCCUCCACCUUCAGUUUUCUCAAGCAGCGUUGUUCUGACACAAACACUGUAACCACUUUUGUGAUAUUGAGCCUUACUCUGUGUGACUCCAGACUGAGCUGAGGUGUGCUUGAAAGAACAUGGGCUUUGAAGUCAAGUGCAUCUUGUCUGUGGUGUGUUUAACAAGUAUGCCCCUCUGAGACACAGCAUCCUUAUUUGUAAAAGAAGGAUAAUAGUGCCCACUUUUCAAGAUUACUGACAUGAGUAGAUUGAGUAGCAUAUGUAAAGUGCCUUUACAUAUAGGAUAUGUCUGUUAAAUGAAUGAU